rnacentral:lncRNA from 1 species
AAAAAAAAUCUUACACCCAAAAUCCCUAAAAACACAAGUCCAGAAAAGGGGGGAAAAGUUAUUACAGCACGUUACAAAAAUAAACUAAAACUAAGUACUAAAAUUUCCGCCGUCAUUCACUUUGUCAUCGCUCGUAAAGGGGCUGCCACCUGAAACAUGACAAAAAAAGAAGCUUCAAUUCAAAGGUAAUUCAAACAUUCCUAUUCGAAAGCAUUCACACAAAAUUCAUACAUACACAUUGUUGUAGUUAUACUCCCUUAAACUACCCUCGAUUCUAAUUUUCAAUGUGACUAAUCGAGUGAACGUUUUAUGUUAGUAAAUAAGGCUAACAAACCCUUAAAAUAAGCUUUAAAAAUCAACUAAAGUUGCUGGAAAUUAUGAUAAACAAAGAACCUAUAAUUGUCUUUCACCAGGGAUCCAAAAAGUCAUGAAACUCGGUAUAAUCGAGUUAAAACACAGAUUAUUCGACUAAACAAGUUGCUGAAAAUUUUUUUAAACAUUAGCUAAAGUCAAGUUUUGUUAAAAUAAAACUUGGAUAAAAUAUUCAAACUACUAUUAUAAUCUCAAUAACGAAACUAAGUUAGUUCCUUAGGCAGCUAAUCAAGAAACAGAAAUCAAUAUAAAAUAGGCUAGACUUUUUUACCAAGCUGUUUUCUCUCUAUCUCUGUUUCUCCACCGUUACCGUUGAUUUCCGCUCCUAACCGAGAAAUCAAAAAACAGAACAAAUUAGAUCCGCAAAAUAAAUAAAUAAGGGGUUUCAACCCUAGGUUUACAUAUCGGGGCUUGCAUGUCACUGGAGGAUCCGCCGGAACCACCGACGACAACAUAAAAGGCCGGAUCUAGGUUAAACAAGAGACAAACCAUUAAAAAAGGGAUUUCAGAUAUGUUUUUACCUUUUUCUCUCGUUGUUGAUGAUUGAGUACGGAGAGAAAGAGGAGAAAUGAAGGGGAAGAAGAAAACAGGAAAAGAAAAGAAAAUGGGGCGACGGCGACCAUCGCCGUCGAGAAGGAAAAGAAG